rnacentral:rRNA from 1 species
GAUGAACGCUGACAGAAUGCUUAACACAUGCAAGUCUUUGGCGAAGCUGUGCUUGCACAGCCUAGCCAAGGCGGACGGGUGAGUAACGCGUAAGGAACUUGCCCUGUAGUCAGGGAUAACAGACGGAAACGACUGAUAAGACCUGGUAAAGUCAGGCGGACUCAUGUCCAGCCUGAUGAAAAGAGAUGCUGCAGGAGAGCCUUGCGUCCUAUUAGCUUGUUGGUGGGGUAACGGCCCACCAAGGCGAUGAUAGGUAGCCGGCCUGAGAGGGUGGACGGCCACAAGGGGACUGAGAUACGGCCCUUACUCCUACGGGAGGCAGCAGUGGGGAAUAUUGGACAAUGGGGGCAACCCUGAUCCAGCAAUUCUGUGUGCACGAUGAAGGUUUUCGGAUUGUAAAGUGCUUUCAGCAGGGAAGAAAAAAUGACGGUACCUGCAGAAGAAGCGACGGCUAAAUACGUG